AAAUGAAUAGACGGGGACCCGCACAAGCAGCGGAGCAUGUGGUUUAAUUCGAAGCAACGCGAAGAACCUUACCAAGACUUGACAUUUCGUGAAUAGUAUAGAGAUAUAUGAAGUCCAGCAAUGGACACGAGGACAGGUGGUGCAUGGUUGUCGUCAGCUCGUGUCGUGAGAUGUUCGGUUAAGUCCGGCAACGAGCGCAACCCUUGUGAUAUGUUGGCAAUAUUAAGUUAGCAACUCAUAUCAGACUGCCGUGGAAAACACGGAGGAAGGCGGGGACGACGUCAAAUCAUCAUGCCCCUUACGUCUUGGGCUACACACGUGCUACAAUGGGCGCAACAAACAGUUACGAAGUGGAGACAUGGAGUUAAUCUGAAAAAAGCGUUCUCAGUUCGGAUUGUGGGCUGCAACUCGCCCACAUGAAGUCGGAGUUGCUAGUAAUCCCGGAUCAGCAUGCCGGGGUGAAUGCGUUCCCGGGUCUUGUACACACCGCCCGU
rnacentral:rRNA from 1 species